GUUUUAUGCCACUUCUUUUUCUGUCUCAUUUUGUCCACCACACUUUUAACGUUGUGCGUGAAGGCACAAAGGGGCAAGUCCUCAAACGCCACUUUUCCUGACUUUCCACGGAGGCCAAGCUGCUCCAGGACUUUGUUUGUGGCAAUUUUCCUCAGCAUUGUCCUCACCGUGUCUGCCAAGUUCUGCCCACCGAGAGAAUGGGGAAUUCAAACUAAUUACCAGCUGCUUUCUGAGCAGAAGAUCAGUGUCGAGCCGUUCACAGAAGGCCUUCAGCUGCUCAAGAGUCUGGAAAGGCUGAUCAAUGAGAUCUUGAACAU